rnacentral:rRNA from 1 species
GCGAACGGGUGAGUAAUAUAUCGGAACGUACCCAGAAGUGGGGGAUAACGUAGCGAAAGUUACGCUAAUACCGCAUACGAUCCACGGAUGAAAGUAGGGGACCUUCGGGCCUUAUGCUUUUGGAGCGGCCGAUAUCUGAUUAGCUAGUUGGUAGGGUAAAGGCCUACCAAGGCGACGAUCAGUAGCUGGUCUGAGAGGACGACCAGCCACACUGGAACUGAGACACGGUCCAGACUCCUACGGGAGGCAGCAGUGGGGAAUUUUGGACAAUGGGCGCAAGCCUGAUCCAGCAAUGCCGCGUGAGUGAAGAAGGCCUUCGGGUUGUAAAGCUCUUUUGUCAGGGAAGAAACGGUAGAGGCUAAUAUCCUUUGCUAAUGACGGUACCUGAAGAAUAAGCACCGGCUAACUACGUGCCAGCAGCCGCGGUAAUACGUAGGGUGCAAGCGUUAAUCGGAAUUACUGGGCGUAAAGCGUGCGCAGGCGGUUUUGUAAGUCUGACGUGAAAUCCCCGGGCUCAACCUGGGAAUUGCGUUGGAGAC